rnacentral:rRNA from 1 species
AUACGGAGGAUCCGAGCGUUAUCCGGAUUUAUUGGGUUUAAAGGGUGCGCGGGCGGCCAUUUAAGUCAGCGGUUAAAUCGUGGGGCUCAACCCCAUUCUGCCGUUGAUACUGGGUGGCUUGAUUGCGGUCGAGGUUGGCGGAAUUCGUUGUGUAGCGGUGAAAUGCAUAGAUAUGACGAAGAACACCGAUUGCGUAGGCAGCUGACCAGACCGCAAAUGACGCUCAUGCACGAAAGUGCGGGGAUUGAACAGGAUUAGAUACCCUGGUAGUCCGCACAGUAAACGAUGAAUACUUGUUUUCGGCGAUAUAAUGUCGGAGGCAAAGCGAAAGCGAUAAGUAUUCCACCUGGGGAGUACGCCGGCAACGGUGAAACUCAAAUGAAUUGACGGGG